CAGUCGCCGCGGUAAUACAGAGGGUGCGAGCGUUAAUCGGAUUUACUGGGCGUAAAGCGUGCGUAGGCGGCUAAUUGAGUCGGAUGUGAAAUCCCCGAGCUUAACUUGGGAAUUGCAUUUGAUACUGGUUAGCUAGAGUGUGGGAGAGGAUGGUAGAAUUCCAGGUGUAGCGGUGAAAUGCGUAGAGAUCUGGAGGAAUACCGAUGGCGAAGGCAGCCAUCUGGCCUAACACUGACGCUGAGGUACGAAAGCAUGGGGAGCAAACAGGAUUAGAUACCCCCGUAGUCCCUGUCUCUUAUAC
rnacentral:rRNA from 1 species